AGUUAUAUCAGAAAAGUUGAAGUUUUUGAGUUCAUUUUUGCUUUAUAUGUAUAACUAAUAACAAAAAUUAUUAAUAAAAUGCUGUUGAAGAAUAUUUUGGAACUUAUCUAUUGGUAAAUUUACAAUUUCACAUAGAUAAUAAGCUAUUUCAUAAUGGAUUUUGUUCAAAAUCAUUUUCAUAUUAUAAAUAUAUAAUUUAAAUAAACAUUUGAAAAUCCAUACAGACGAGAAGCCAUUUCAAUGCGAAAUUUGCUCAAAAUCAUUUGAAGUUGAAAGUUGUUUGAAAGAACAUUUUCAAAUUGAUUCAGACCAGAAGCCAUUUAAUUGUGGAAUUUGUUUGAAAGCUUUUUCAGGCAAAAAUAAUUUAAAAGAACAUUUGAAAAUCCACACAGAUUUUAUUAAAGAAACACUUAAAAGGCAACAAAAUCAGAUUUAUUGAAUAUUUUCGUGUCAAUCAAUUCAAACACAUCAAAAAGGCAUCCUAAGCCGAUAUCACCUGAAGAAGUUGGCACUAAGGCGAUGGUGGAUUCAAGUUAACGCCACGUCUUAUAAAAUUCUAUCAUUUGUUUAGAGUCAAGAAGAUACAGCGAAAAGACAAUUUAUCUACAGACUGAGCAGAGCUAAAUGAGGUACCAUCGAUAGCCUAAUAUUGGCGAUAUGUUGUUUACAUAAUAUGUGGACAGAAAAUAGUCGUACAUUUAGUAAAAACUGCAGCGACAACGACAUAUUAAUACCAUGUGAAAAUUUUCUACCUCUCGGACGAGCAGGGAGCACAGAAAUUACGUCAGCAGUAAAUACUCGCAAUGAACUUAAGUCAUAUACGAGGAGGUAGUAACUUAAAAGUAACCGGAAUAGCCUUGCCAAGGGUGGAGGUUUUGUAGUACUGAUUUCUGCCGCAACUCGUCGCCAGUUCAGUGCCGCGCUGGCCGUUGACCUGCCACAUCACUAGUGACCGUUCUUGUUAGUGAAACUUUGUUUUCUACUCGGUAAAAACGCCGAUUAAACUGUUUUAACGUUGAAAACUGCUUACAAAGAUGAUGCUAUGGGGAAAACUCGAGUGUAUGAGUGGUUUUCUCGAUUUAAAAAUGGCGACAUGUCGAUUGAUGACAAACCUCGCUCUGGACGUCCAUCAACUGCCCGAAUCGUUGAAAAUGUUGAAAGAAUUCGAGAGCUUGUGCGCACAGACAAUUGAUCAACUGUCUGAAAUCAGUGGAAUAUCUUGGAGCUCGGUUCAGCAAACAGGUGACUGGUUCUUCUCAUCUGCACACUCAACAAUCACUGUUCACCAAUUUUUGGUUAAAAAUAACUUGGUUCCACUACCCCUUAUUCGCCUGACCUGGCUCCGUGCGACUUUUUCUUGUUUCUACGCAUGAAAAGGGGCAUGAAAGGACGACGAUUUGAAACAUUGAAGACAUCAAGAAAAGAACGAGACAAAAGCUUGCAGCCAUCUCUAAAGAUAAGUUCAAACAAUGUUUCGAACAGUGGAAGCACCCCCUCGUAUAUGCUCCUAACCUAACAUAACUAAAUUAAUAAAGAAACAAAGACUUACCAGGCAAUCCGACUAUUUCGCUAAUUUUUUCCCAACAUUUGUGUUUAUAAAUAUUAUUUUUAUAUUCCUUGUCACUUUUAUUGUAUAAUGCACAAUAACAUUGGACUGAUUCAAUCAA